AAAAUCCUGCUUUGGUCAGCAACUCGGACCACCAUCAGGGGAUAAAUCAAUUUGCAGCAGCUGUGGACAGCCAUUUAAGUCUGGGGCCUGAACAGAUUAAUUAGGAGAAGCGAUGUUAAAAGUUAAAGGGGUCAGCAUUACAUUAAGCACAGGAGUACUUGCUGGAACAAACGCUUGGCUGUACAUACCAAGACUCACAAGACAUUCUUUUAGUUAGCCAGGGCUACGCCAAUAACCAAGCGUUUGGCACUUGCUGCUUUCCCAGAGACAGCCGGCAGCUCCCGCAGGCUGAUUUUAAGAGACAUAUACCCAUUCUUGCCCAGCCCUUGCCGCGCCGUGCUGUGCCCUCGGCGCGUUCAGCGUUGCCCGCACAGGCGGGCGCGCAGUCGUGCAUAGCGCACCUCGGGGCCGCGAAGGCAGGCGAAGGCAGGCGCUUCCCGCCCGGCUCUGGUUGUCAGUGCAAAACUUAAGCAGCUCUUUCGGUCAGACUUGCUGCCGCGGACUCAGCAGAUCGCAGCCCGCUCCUGAGCUAUCUGCGGGGCGGGAGCUGCCGGCUCCCGGGCGUCACGGCCGGGCGGCUGCGAGAGACGGAUCGUCUCCCUGCCGUGAUUUAGGGCAUGGCAGAGGGGAGCGGAGUACAAGAACGACAGCUAGGUCGCUAUAAAUUACUUCUGAAACGGAGUCACGGGUGCUCCUGCUAGGGUGGCAAAUCCUUCCCUGCACUCAACCAAAUUUCUCAACUUUGGCACUAACAAAAGGACUCGAACUCCGCAAAAGUCAAAGGCUUGUCUAAAUGGCCGGGAAUGUGGUUUUCAUCCUUCCAAUCUCCCUUAUCAAUGGUCUGUUGCGAAUUUAUGGAAUCGAACCCUUCAGCACAGCCAGAGGAGAUGACACAGUUACAGUGUAUGGCAGUUUCGGAAAUGCAAUCCCUAGCGUUAUCCUGUCGUUUUAGUAAACAAGCUAUUUGCAAGACCGCGGACCACCUAAAGGAGACAUGCACCGCAUAAAAUAUUUUUCAAAAUAGUCCGAAAAGAUGUUGCCGGUGCUGCACAAACCUAUGAUUGCAGUGAGACAACAAGCGAAACAAAACAAUCCCAUCAGAAAUAUUUCAGCCACUCCAACUCACACUGGCCAGCGCUAGAGCCUGGAGAGAGGGGAGGCAGGAAGGAAAAAGGCAAGUCCUAAAUCCAGACAGAAAUCUGACGCUUUGUUAUAAUAUAUGCCUGGGAGGGUUAUUUUCUGCCAAAACUGGGUUAUUUGGUUUCUGAGCUCUUGAGCAGUAUCUGGGGUGCUAGUUUGUAAGCCGGGGACAGAGCAUGAAAGGCUGCAUGCAGCGCUAACCUGGCCUGGGCACAGCAGCAGCCCCGGUCCGCCUGGGUUAGUUACAGCCACGGGAACCCCUCAUAGCCCGGGGAGCCCUGCGGGAGAGGAGAAAGGCAAAGAAAAGGGGCUCGGGCUCCCCCCGCCCCGGCGCGCCCUGCCCAGCCAGCCCUGCCCGCGCCCGUACUCACACUGCAGAGGACCGGAGAUGCCCACCAUUCGCCACGGGCUGCGAGCUGCAAAUAAAAGUUCCCGUCCUGCUCGGGGGAGAGACGGCAGCCCAGGCUGCUGGAGGGGCGAGGGGGUGGGAAAGGGGAGAGCAGCGCCGCGCGGCUUCCCUUCCCAGUCCAGAUGAUCCACGUCCACAAAAGUCAAAACGAGCUGAGGAGAAACUCCAGCUGCUCUUCCCCCCCCCACCCCCACCACCCUCUCUCGCUCUUUCUUUUUUUUUUUUUUUUUUUUAAAGGAGGAUCAGCUCGAGAGAGACUACUGGUUCCACGGGAAAGGACAAUAACCAAAAAUAAAGCAAAGUCUCCAAGUCGAGAUAGUUAAUGCCCAGGUCCUUCUCCUUGCUGCCGCCGCCGCCGCCGCCUCAGACAAACGUGAUGUGGAGCGCAGGGAGCAGCCGCUGUCAGUGGCGGGGUCUCUGCCUGUCCCCGAGCAGCCGACGCAUAGCUGAGCCCGCGGCGAAGCCGAGCCGAGCCGAGCCGGGGUGCGGUGCCGAGCGGUGCCGAGCGGUGCCGAGCCGAGCCCGCCGCCGGCCGGGGCUGCGCCGCCGCUGCGCUCGCUGCGCCCGGCUCCCGCUAGCAGGCAGCGCGCGAGGCAGGCAGCAUACUGCCGGCAGCCGGGCCGGCCCCGCUACCCAGGUGCAGGGGGGGAGGGCUUAAAGCAGUGGGAGGUGAUAGAGGUAGGAGACAUCUGUGUCGUGAAGAGGUUAGUGGGGGUCAAGUAUAUGUUAACAAUAGGCGAGCGUGGUCCCUCUCGGGCAGCCUGCCUACUCUUUCUUUCUUUCGCUCGCUUUUACUGGGUGGACAUCUAACUUGCUCCCUAAUGAUGCUUCCCCGGCUUUAAGAGUCCAGACUGCCCUGCAGUAACCCAAGACAAACACUUUCUCUAGCCAUCUGGAGAGCUCCUGGCUGCUCUGCCUGUGUCUCAUCACUGUGUGAAGAGACAGCAGUGCUAGAAAUCAAGCCACUCUCAGAUCUACUCUCUAAUCCCCUUCUGUUAGCUGAUUUCCAGUCAGACUGUUUGCUUUUGCAUUAGAUAAUAGCCUUAGAGAAAACAAUUAUCAUUUUCUUUUUGUCUUUGUCUUUUCCUCUUUCUAAAGUACAGUAUCGGGGAAGGCCUCCCUCUCUUAUUUUAAAAGAAAUUUAUAGUCUUUCAUGGCUUGAAGAACCCAUAUGCAAUUUCACACUUUCCUGGAAGGGGAUUCUGGAUUCUUCUGAAAGCAGCGACAUGAUCACAACUGCAGUGAAAAUUAAUUACUAUCAUCUACAAUUAAUAGAAGCAUGCCACCAUUUGACUUCGUGUUUCAUUACAUAAUCAUUUCGGUAGGCAUCCAUAUAUUUUCUGAUUCAUCAGUUAUUCCCUUCUACGUGUUGCAGAGAAUAUUAUUGUCAGUCACACAAUCUACAGCAAACUGGUAUCUCUGCUGUCAUGUUGUCACUAUAUAAAGAAGGCGUCUCCACAAAGAAAAAAAAAAAAACUUCUUACAUUUGCUUCACUGUAAAAAAGUACUUUUUUUUUUCAGAUUGCAGAUAAUGGAUUGGAACUGUCAGAAAUGCUGGAACAUUUAGCUUCAUUUUUUCCAAUGUCAGAUGUUAAGUAAAAGAGUGAGCAUGGAAUAGAACUUCUAAUCAAGCUGCCUUCUUUAUUCCUGUACAUACACGUACACACACGUACGCACACACAUAUACACUAUAGGCCUGAUCUUGCAAAUUUACAAAUACUUAAUUUUAAAUAGACAUAUUGAAUGCAAAGUAGCAUUCUGUGUGUUUAUUAUAAAGGCAUACACGUUUCCAAAAGGGGGGAAACAUUUUUGUCUAUAUUUAUCUGCAUGUUUACAACAGUAUUUGCCUCUGUUGCUGGCUUUGAAAUUUUGUUUGAUUUUGAAAAUAUGUUUAAAAUAUAUUUUAUUAUCUGGAUAAAGCUACCUUUUCUGCAGACAUUUCAGGAUAUGGAACUUUAAUGAACUGGUCAGUAUCUUGUAAUCCAGGGUCGAAUUUGGAGUAAAUUCAGCUUUACACUACAUAAAUCAGAACAUGUUUUGGUCUACUGUGAUUUCAAUUUACAAAGAUGGUGAGCAGCCACAAGUCUGUCAUUGAUUUCUAAUUUAAAACUAUCUGUUUUACAGAGGUCUAUUUCAAAGCCAAAUUAUGGGAGAGUCUUUUAAAAGGUAUCUUCAAAUAUUUAAAAAUAAUCUAAAGAUAGCAAAUUUUAUAAGGCUUCUUUUGUCUUCAGCAGAUUUAGAAAUUUCAGUUUGAAAAUCUUUGUGGCAUGAUACUUUCGUUCCAAUUGUUCUAUGUGUAAGGUGACAAAUAAAGAAGAGGUUUGCCAGUGGUCUCA